UUGCGCAGACAUAUAGUUUAUAAGUCAGGCGUUAUAACUGAAAUUUAUAUCGUUUCACACAUAGUCUUUAAGUAUUUUCGGUGCAGUGUGAGAUGACGCUCUGAGGUGAAAGCGGGUUCAUCUUUCGUUUUUUCAGCAGCUCCUAAGGCGAAAAUGCAAGCAUUGUUGGAAUCAACCUCCAGAUGAACUGUUUUUAUGAGCAAAAUGUACCAGAAAUGCCGACCGGUUGUGACCCGGUUCGGACGAGUUCUUUAAACGUUUACCACCAUUUUGGAUGUGACCAUCUGCAGAAGCUAUAGUUACAAAAUCCGAUUUUUCGCGCGGUAUUUGUAAAGCGCUUCAAAUGCUCUGACAAGAUAAAAAAAAUGACAUUUAAAGGAGAUGCAUCAAUCAGUCACAGAGAAAAAGGAUGGAAACGACGUCAACACUCAUCGGUAUUCCCACCGUCAUCUGCCCUACGAAGUGUGCAAAUGUUCCUUAGCCGGAACAACACAUACGGGAACGAAUUCGAUGGUGGUGAUCUAGUUGCAGUUGGGGACAUUGUUGCAUAUUUCAAACUCAAUUGAUUAACAAUAACAACAAGUAUGGUAAAUUUGAAUA